CCUACGGGAGACAGCAGUGGGGAAUAUUGCGCAAUGGGCGAAAGCCUGACGCAGCGACGCCGCGUGAGGGAUGAAGGUCUUCGGAUCGUAAACCUCUGUCAGCAGGGAAGAACGGUCACUGUGCUAAUCAGCAGUGAAUUGACGGUACCUGCAAAGGAAGCACCGGCUAACUCCGUGCCAGCAGCCUCGGUAAUACGGAGGGUGCGAGCGUUAAUCGGAAUUCCUGGGCGUAAAGCGCUCGUAGGCGGUAUGUCAAGUCAAGGGGGAAAUCCCCGCGCUCAACGUGUGAACUGCCUUUGAAACUGGAAAACUUGAGUGUGUGAGAGGAUAGUGGAAUUCCAGGUGUAGGAGUGAAAUCCGUAGAUAUCGGGAGGAACAUCAGUGGCGAAGGCGACUAUCUGGCACAUAACUGACGCUGAGGAGCGAAAGCGUGGGUAGCAAACAGGAUUAGAUACCCGAGUAGUC
rnacentral:rRNA from 1 species